rnacentral:lncRNA from 1 species
CACGUCGCCCGCCCUAGUCUGCUUUUGUGAAUCUCCACUUUGUUCAACCCCCACCCGCCGUCUCUCCCUCCCUGCGCCUUCCCUCUAACCUUAAAGACCCAGCUACCUCUACGCAAAUGGUAGCUACCUCUGCGCAGGUGGAAGUUGAGUUCGGUUCACGCGGGACCCUCUUCCCUGUGGCAAGCUGCUGAAGGAGACCUGCUGUUACUGCUUUAGCUGCUGUUCUGCUUAAUCUCAGACAGCUGGAAGGUAGUAUUCCGCCCUCGCCCAGCCACCCGAGUAAAUGAGAAUGAUGACUGACUGAGACCCUGAUGGUGGUGGCUUAGGCUUAAUCUCAGACAGCUGGAAGGUAGUAUUCCGCCCUCACCCAGCCACCCGAGUAAAUGAGAAUGAUGACUGACUGAGACCCUGAUGGUGGUGGCUUAGGCAAGAUGAACGUCUGAAAUGGAGGCCCAGGGCUGCCACGAUGGCUCUGUAGUCAUCAGGGAGGGAGCUCCUUUUAUCUUGUUACCUACUCCCCUCUUGUGCCCCUUUCUUCCCUUGAUCUAAGAAGGUUGCUCCGGAUCUCGCCAUCUGGCCUGCGUUCAAUCAGCAGAAGCUUCCUGGAGGAGCAGGAGGAGGCACUGUGCUCGCAUCACAUACCAGUGGCCAGAAGUUGGCUUCAGGGAAGCUCAGGAAAUAGGAUGCGAGAAGCCAUGAGACCUCCCCAAACUCUGCAGUAACAGAGUCAACAAGACAAUGGCUUAAAGAUGGAGAGACCAGUUGAUCGGUCACACAAGCUGUUCCACGAUAAUUCUUGUGUCAGAAGGGGAGGCUGACUACCAGGACCACUGGCCCCACUUCCAGCCCCUCCAUUCUGAGUACACUUCAGAGGGCUCUGGCAGGGUGAGGGGGUCUUGGUGGUGCCACAGAGAGUAAAGGUCUAGCACACCCAUUGUGGAGAUAUUUCAUGGGGACAACCCAGUGACUUCACUUGAACUCCAGCUGGUCCUUCCAUUCGGGGUCCCUGACUUCCCGCAACAUAGAACCCUCAAAUAGAUGAAGGUGGAGCUUCUUGGGUAGAGACUGGAGGAUUGGGGUGUUGCCCACCGGGCCUUACGGACUCUCCUGAGUGAUCUGAGUCACCUCCAAAGAGCUAGCACGUGCCCAGCUUCCUUUCAAGUCUCUGGCCAAUGCAAUGUGAGCAGAAGUGAAGGGGCAACUUUCAGGUGAUGACUUGGAAAAGAAAGCUUAGUCCUCUGCUUCUCCUGUCACCCGAAAGAGAAACAGAGGCUUGUCUUGUUGAAGCCAGUGUGUUUGGUGUCUUUUUGUAUAGUGGCUUAGACAGUGGCCUAACUAGAAGACCAAGGCUCAAAGGAACACAUUUUGAGCUUCUCCACAGUUUGAGAACCUCUACAUUACCUACACCAAGCCUUCCCCAGCACUCAAUUUAUGGAAGACCAUUUCUCUUCUCAUGACACAUGUCCUCAUGUUGCUUUGGCCUGUUUUAAAGCUUUCUCAACUCCAUCUCAAUAAAGAAAUCUGCAGCUUUGUUGGAUGAGAGGAUCUAAAAAGUUCGUUCUUCCAAUCGGUUGUAAAUAUAGACACUAAUUUAUAAACUGACACAGGAACACACAGCAAAUUAGUAGAAAAUCCGAUUCCUGUUCCCUUUUCUCCUUGCAUUGUUUCCUGCCAAUGCUCACCAUUUCUUUAUCCUUUCCACUCUUCCUUGCUCCUCCUUCCCUUUAAUUUUUCUCUGUUGUGCCUAAAUAAGCUGUCCAUGCAUGGCACUCCAUGGGCUCUGAUAACAGACUCAACAAGACAAUGACUUAAAGAUGGAGUGACCAGCUGAUCAGUCACACAAGUUGUUCCAGUGUAAUUAUUUUCACAGGUGUCUCAGUUUGGAUGAUAAA